CCACCCAAAAACAUUCAAUUAAUCAAAGCAAACAUGGAAUGAAUUUCUCAAAAAGCUCAUUUUUUUAAAGCCUUUUCAAGAUACAAAUCUACUUGAACUGAGGAUGAUACAAAGUUACAGACAACAAAAACAUAGACACAGCAAGGAAAAUGGAGGCCAUGAGAUUAAAUUCACAAAGUACAUAUGAUACAAUUGAUGUCAAGAUUAUCUGCUGGUGAUGGGUUUAAAGAAU